AUACGGAGGGUGCAAGCGUUACUCGGAAUCACUGGGCGUAAAGCGCGCGCAGGCGGGCUGAUAAGUUGGAUGUGAAAGCCUACGGCUCAACCGUAGAACUGCAUCCAAAACUGUCAGUCUAGAGUCUGAGAGGGGAAGAUGGAAUUAGUUGUGUAGGGGUAAAAUCCGUAGAGAUAACUAGGAAUACCAAAAGCGAAGGCGAUCUUCUGGAACAGUACUGACGCUGAGGCGCGAAAGCGUGGGGAGCAAACGGGAUUAGAAACCCCAGUAGUCC
rnacentral:rRNA from 1 species